rnacentral:rRNA from 1 species
UGCCUAACACAUGCAAGUCGUACGGGACUUGGGGGCAACUCCCACUUCUGUGGUGGACAGGUGCUUAACACCUGAGGAAUUUGCUCGGCGUCCGGGUGAUAAUCCGGCCCACCAGCCUGGUAUUACUCCCAUACACUCUUUCUGGGAGCCUCCGUGAGGCAAGGAAAGCAACCGCCAGGGUUCGCCAACUGACGGUCUCGCAGGCUAUCAGCUAGUUGGCGGGGUAACGGCCCACCAAGGCGACGACGGGUAGCUGGUCUGAGAGGAUGAUCAGCCACAUUGGGACUGAGACACGGUCCAGACUCCUACGGGAGGCAGCAGUGAGGAAUAUUGCGCAAUGGCCGCAAGCCUGACGCAGCGACGCCGCGUGUGGGAUGACGGUCUUCGGAUUGUAAACCCCUGUCAGGGGGAAAGAAUGCGGGACGUGGUAUUGCCGAUCUUGAGUGACGGUACCUCCAAAGGAAGCACCGGCUAACUCCGUGCCAGCAGCCGCGGUAAUACGGAGGGUGCGAGCGUUGUCCGGAAUCACUGGGCGUAAAGGGCGCGUAGGCGGCUCGGUAAGUUGGAGGUGAAAUCCCGGGGCUCAACUCCGGGGCUGCCGGCAAGACUGUUGGACUUGAGCCCGGUAGAGGCAGAUGGAAUUCCCGGUGUAGCGGUGGAAUGCGUAGAUAUCGGGAAGAACACCAGUGGCGAAGGCGUUUUCCUGGGCCGUUGCUGACGCUGAGGCGCGACAGCGUGGGGAGCAAACAGGAUUAGAUACCCUGGUAGUCCACGCCGUAAACGAUGGACACUAGGCGUCGGGGGGAUCGACCCUCCCGGUGCCGUCGCUAACGCAGUAAGUGUCCCGCCUGGGGAGUACGGCCGCAAG